UGAUUCAUAAUAACUUUACGGAUCACAUUUAUAUGUGACAUAUCAUUCAAGUUUCUGACCUAUCAGCUUUAGACGGUAGGGUAUUGGCCUACACGUGGCAAUGACGGGUAACGGGGAAUUAGGGUUCGAUUCCGGAGAGGGAGCCUGAGAAACGGCUACCACAUCUAAGGAAGGCAGCAGGCGCGCAAAUUACCCAAUCCUAAUACAGGGAGGUAGUGACAAGAAAUAACAAUACAGGACUUUAAAUAGUUUUGUAAUUGGAAUGAGUUAAGUAUAAACCCCUUUACAAGUAUCAAUUGGAGGGCAAGUCUGGUGCCAGCAGCCGCGGUAAUUCCAGCUCCAAUAGCGUAUAUUAAAGUUGUUGCAGUUAAAAAGCUCGUAGUUGGAUUUCUGUUAAUAAUUUAUAUAUAAUAUUUUAUUAAUAUUUAUAUAGUAUUAACAUAAUUCAUAUUACUAUAUUAUAUA
rnacentral:rRNA from 1 species